rnacentral:rRNA from 1 species
GUACACUCCUGCGGGAGGCAGCAGUGGGGAAUUUUGGACAAUGGGCGAAAGCCUGAUCCAGCAAUGCCGCGUGUGUGAAGAAGGCCUUCGGGUUGUAAAGCACUUUUGUCCGGAAAGAAAUCCUUGGCUCUAAUACAGUCGGGGGAUGACGGUACCGGAAGAAUAAGCACCGGCUAACUACGUGCCAGCAGCCGCGGUAAUACGUAGGGUGCGAGCGUUAAUCGGAAUUACUGGGCGUAAAGCGUGCGCAGGCGGUUUGCUAAGACCGAUGUGAAAUCCCCGGGCUCAACCUGGGAACUGCAUUGGUGACUGGCAGGCUAGAGUAUGGCAGAGGGGGGUAGAAUUCCACGUGUAGCAGUGAAAUGCGUAGAGAUGUGGAGGAAUACCGAUGGCGAAGGCAGCCCCCUGGGCCAAUACUGACGCUCAUGCACGAAAGCGUGGGGAGCAAACAGGAUUAGAAACCCCAGUAGUCCCAUG